AACAUUGGACAAUGGGCCCAAGCCUGAUCCAGCCAUGGCGCGUGUGGGAUGAAUGCCCUAGGGAUGUAAAGCUCUUUCACCGUCGCAGGUAAUGACGGGUGUCGGAUAAGAAGCCCCGGCUAACUUCGUGCCAGCAGCCGUGGUAAUACGAAUGGGGCUAGCGUUGUUCGGAAUUACUGGGCGUAAAGCGCACGUAGGCGGAUCAGUCAGUUAGGGGUAAACUACCAGGGCUAAACCCAGGAAAUGCCUUUAAUACUGCAGGUCUUGAGUUAGAGAAAGAUGAGUGAACUUCCGAGUGUCGAGGUGAAUUUCGUAGAUAUUCGGAGGAACACCAGUGGCGAAGGCGGCUCACUGGCUCGAUACUGACGCUGAGGUGCGAAAGCGUGGGGAGCAAACA
rnacentral:rRNA from 1 species